CCUGCGGAGGGAUCAUUACCGAG
rnacentral:rRNA from 1 species